rnacentral:rRNA from 1 species
CGCUGGCGGCGUGCCUAAUACAUGCAAGUCGAGCGGAAUGAUGAAGAAGCUUGUUUCUUCUGAUUUUAGCGGCGGACGGGUGAGUAACACGUGGGCAACCUACCUUGUAGAUUGGGAUAACUCCGGGAAACCGGGGCUAAUACCGAAUAAUCCAUUUUGCUUCAUGGCGAGAUGUUAAAAGGCGGCUUCGGCUGUCACUAUAAGAUGGGCCCGCGGCGCAUUAGCUAGUUGGUAGGGUAAUGGCCUACCAAGGCGACGAUGCGUAGCCGACCUGAGAGGGUGAUCGGCCACACUGGGACUGAGACACGGCCCAGACUCCUACGGGAGGCAGCAGUAGGGAAUCUUCCACAAUGGACGAAAGUCUGAUGGAGCAACGCCGCGUGAGUGAAGAAGGUUUUCGGAUCGUAAAACUCUGUUGUAAGGGAAGAACACGUACGAGAGUAACUGCUCGUACCUUGACGGUACCUUAUUAGAAAGCCACGGCUAACUACGUG